CAAGGASUUUAGCAUGUGUGCGAGUCAAUUGAGAUACUCGAACUAGACUUAAAGGCGUWACGAAAGUGAAGGCGCGCGCUCGCCGCGCGCUCGGGGAAGAUGGAGGCCGAUCUCGCGUCGGCCUCUCGCACUCCCGAGGCGUCUCGUUUGCAAUCCGUCAAUGUAGRCGCRCUCAGAGCACAGAUGCUGGGACCCGAAAGAUGGUGAACUAUGCCUGG
rnacentral:rRNA from 1 species